AGAAGAAGAAACGUGAUUUGGUUUUGGGAAGGGUAUUGAAGUAAUACAUCAGGGUUGUAGGGGAAUAUAUUAUUUCUCUUUCUUUGUUGGGAAUAAAAUUCGACCUAAUCCUUAAAGCUAUCAGAAAUGAAAUUGAAUAGUAGGAGUAAGGAUGCCUUUGAAGGUGUUUGAGCAAAAAUAAUUCACUGCAUGUUUGAGCAAAUCAAAACACACCCUUUUUACAUUCCAGUGGCAUUUCUCCAAAAACAUGGAUUCCCUAUCUUCUUCUUUCAAUGCCAAAGUGGCACUCACCGUUCAAAAUUUUCAGGGGUUAAGUGCUGUAGAAAUGGAGAGAGUUUUAUGAGAUAGUCUUCCGUUGAGGCUCUUUUCAGAGCUUGGGUUUCUUCUGAAGCAAUUUGUGUUGAUCCCAGGGGUAAAUCUAUUUACUUUUGGGAAUACCCAUUAGUUUGGAUUGCCCAAAAUUGGAGUCUAAAUACAAGCGCAUAUUUGUUGAUGUUGGACUUGGAUUUCAUGUGGAAUUCACUUGGUCGGAAGCUGUGAAUUAAAAAUUAGCAAAGGAGGACAAAUUAUGCAGUUGAAGGUUAAUGACUGGAGGCUGCAUUUCACUGAGAUUGAAUUCAUAAAUUCGCCACAGUGCUUCUGGCGCAGACACCCAACGUGCAUCUUGAAAGGUCUAUGGCCUUACAGGAAGAUAGUGGAUAAAGCAAGUGGGUUCUACUCUACAGACUACCCCACAAUUUGACUACAUACUGGGAUGAAGAAUCAGAACUAAAGUACUCGUGAAUCCGAAAUAUAUUGAACUGCAAUGAUCUGUAAGUUGAAAAAGCAAAGAACAAGAAUGGAACUUAAAAACACUCCAGCAACACCCACAUACACAGAGUGAUCAUCAUAGAUCACAUCACUUCGGCUGAUAUAAUUAACUAAGCUAUAGGUGAUCUAAUAUGUCUGUGUAUAUGUACCGCAGCCUUCAUCUUUCUUCUAUUUUCCUCAUUUUGCCUAUCACUAAUAAACUUUUAUUUCUCACCUAGGACUCAUCAUCCUGCCAAAAGACUGUUGUGGCUAUGAAAUUAAGUGUUUAUUUCAUUACUUUUUUUUUUCAUUUUUUGGCAUCAUUACUUGUUGAGAUUAUUUUGACAGUUGGACAUGGGAACACAGCUAUACAGGAGGUCAUCUUUCUGCACCUUGUAGAUUCGCUGUUAGAAACAUAGUUUCUCUUGAAGUAUAAUUGCCCACAUUUGAUUUGUGAUUUCUACAAAGAUGUCUCUCUUCAUAUUUCAAAUAUAAGUCGUGCCAAUGUGACUAAAAUAUUCCAGCUUAUUCUUUUCUAUUAGAUCAUAUUGGCCAGAGAUGAGUAUAUAUGAAGUAACCAAACCUUACUAUUAAUCCCAAUGUCUCAAUUUGUUUCCUGUCAAUCUUUUCUUUUGUUUCAACUCUAUUUUUCAUGCUACUAUUUCUAUAUGUAUUUUCCGCUAACUUCAGAAUACUUGUGGAACCAGACGACAGAUACCGUGGGAAGUAUGAUGCUGAUCAGUCCCAUCACCCAUCAUAUCUUGGUAAACACCAGCCACCACAUGAAUCAAGAAAUAGCCACUGCCUCAACUUUUGGAAAAAUUCAUGCUAUUUACUACUCUUAUUAUGUAAG